rnacentral:rRNA from 1 species
AUACGGAGGAUCCGAGCGUUAUCCGGAUUUAUUGGGUUUAAAGGGUACGCAGGCGGCCAUUUAAGUCAGCGGUUAAAUCGUGGGGCUCGACCCCAUUCUGCCGUUGAUACUGGGUGGCUUGAUUGCGGUCGAGGUUUGGCGGAAUUCGUUGUGUAGCGGUGAAAUGCAUAGAUAUGACGAAGAACACCGAUUGCGUAGGCAGCUGACCAGAUCGCAAAUGACGCUCAUGCACGAAAGUGCGGGGAUUGAACAGGAUUAGAUACCCUGGUAGUCCGCACAGUAAACGAUGAAUACUUGUUUUCGGCGAUAUAAUGUCGGAGGCAAAGCGAAAGCGAUAAGUAUUCCACCUGGGGAGUACGCCGGCAACGGUGAAACUCAAAUGAAUUGACGGGG